AUGGGGACGCCGGGCGCGCGAGGGUUGUCGCGGCAGGGGGGUCGUCGGCGCUCUGCACGUGCUUCAAGUGAGCGGUGGGUGCUACAACCAGGGCUCACUGGGGUUCCCUAUGUUGUGAUGGAGCAUCACCAGCCGCCGGUGUUACAAUCAAGCAUCGCUGGGGUCCUUAAAAAAAUGAAGCAUUGCUGGGGGCUCAUCCGUGUUGCGGUGAAGCAUCUCGGGUUGUCGCCGGCGCGCAUAGCCCAGCUGAGCACGCCGCAGAGAGGGACCGGUGCUCCGAUACAGAACUUGCCGGCGGCUGCGUUGCUGCAAUGCAGCGCUCAUCGGCACUGCCAGAGCUGCAAUGCAACGGCCGUGACGCCGCAGAGUGGAAUAGGUGCUCCGAUGCAGAGCUUGUCGGCGUCUGUCGGGGCUACGUACUACACAGAGCUCGCGACGCUGCAGAUAGGCUGCUUGUGCUUCGGUGUAGAACUUUGUCGACGGCUGCAUUGGUGUGAUGCACGGUCGACGAGCUCGUUGACAUUUUGCUCAACUCAGCAGAGGGCUGGAGCUGUCCUGAUCAGCCAAAUCGGACGGCUGGGUAAGCGGAUGAUUUCUCUAGGAAAUCAUUCGGUCGACGCCUAG
rnacentral:rRNA from 1 species